GGGCUCUCUGUAUAACUGAGGGUUUAUGAAGUAGUCAUUCAGAGAUCAACUUUGGGACCUAAACUGUUCUGAGGAAGAAACAGAAGUCGUGUUAGAAAUAAAUACUAGCCAGCAUUCAGGAUCGAUUCCAAAAUUGUCCUGGUUUUCAGUGGAAAUCAUGUACUAGUUCUGAGGCUUCCUUCCUACCGUGAAUGUGUUUUCCAGCCAAUGCACUUUUCUGCUGCGAACAGAAACACUUCUCGGUUCCUCACUCUGUUGCUAAUCCUAUUUGUUUCAACUUCCCUAAAUUUAUAUUGAUUUCUAAAAUGCCUUUAUUCAAUUUAGCAUUGAUUACAUUUGUAAGUUAGGAAGGAUUACAGUGAAUGGUGGCAUCUGCUGUUGCUCUCUGGCUUUGUUUUUAUAUAAUGUAGGUGGAAUCAUCCUACAGCCAAGGAUGAGAGCUGAGAUCUUUUGUCCCUUAGUUACAUGAAAAGAGCAUAAAUCAGAACAACAAGAAGCCAGCCCUGCUCCUCAGUUAAAAUUCAGUCUGCUUUUUUCCAACAGAAUGUCAAGGAUAUCAGCUAUGCUGUGACUCUAACAUACUGCAUUCUUCUCCUUAUAUUUUUCCCACCCUAAAAUUUAGCAAAAUAGAGCAGAACCAGAGAAACAACAUGUUGCAAACAAUUGGUAUUACAAUGCGUAGUGUGUUUUUAAAGGAAAAAACUGCAGCUAAGGAGGACAGCCAUCUUUCCAGCUGCCACUCAGCUAGUCUGCAGUUCACAAGUACUUUGGAAGCUGCUUGCUGCUGAUCAGCUAGCACCAAGGGUCCAGUCUUUUCUAUGGUUAGUAACAUAGCAUGCAACUAUACAUUAUUCCAAAGUUCAGCCUUCUAACUACAAAGUACUGACCUAGCUAAGAUAAACGCAUAAAUGCAACUUUUAAAAGCCCAGAACCAAGUCUAUGUGUCUCAUUGCAACAAUGGAAGCAUAAUGACUAUCUUUUUCUGAAAGACUCUAAUUAGCAGACCUAUUUUCCCAUUUGCAGUACUUCAGUUUUAUGC